UCCCAGGUGGUGUAGUGGUUAGGAUUCGUGGCUCUCACCCACGCGGCCCUGGAUCGAUUCCCGGUCUGGGAA
rfam:Ciona savignyi cont_18959, whole genome shotgun sequence.